rnacentral:rRNA from 1 species
UACAGAGGUCCCGAGCGUUGUUCGGAUUCAUUGGGCGUAAAGGGUGCGUAGGUGGCGCUGUAAGUGGGGUGUGAAAUCCCGGGGCUUAACUCCGGGAACUGCAUUCCAUACUGCGGUGCUUGAGGACUGGAGAGGAGACUGGAAUUUACGGUGUAGCAGUGAAAUGCGUAGAGAUCGUAAGGAAGACCAGUGGCGAAGGCGGGUCUCUGGACAGUUCCUGACACUGAGGCACGAAGGCCAGGGGAGCAAACGGG